CGUGAACGCUGGCGGUAGGCCUAACACAUGCAAGUCGAACGGCAGCACAGUAAGAGCUUGCUCUUACGGGUGGCGAGUGGCGGACGGGUGAGGAAUAAAUCGGAAUCUACUUUUUCGUGGGGGAUAACGUAGGGAAACUUACGCUAAUACCGCAUACGACCUACGGGUGAAAGCAGGGGAUCUUCGGACCUUGCGCGAUUGAAUGAGCCGAUGUCGGAUUAGCUAGUUGGCGGGGUAAAGGCCCACCAAGGCGACGAUCCGUAGCUGGUCUGAGAGGAUGAUCAGCCACACUGGAACUGAGACACGGUCCAGACUCCUACGGGAGGCAGCAGUGGGGAAUAUUGGACAAUGGGCGCAAGCCUGAUCCAGCCAUACCGCGUGGGUGAAGAAGGCCUUCGGGUUGUAAAGCCCUUUUGUUGGGAAAGAAAAGCAGCAGGUUAAUACCCCGCUGUUCUGACGGUACCCAAAGAAUAAGCACCGGCUAACUUCGUG
rnacentral:rRNA from 1 species